CGUCGGCUUUGUCCACGCAUUCAGGACGCAAUUCAAUCCCCCUUUUUCCCCUAGAUGAGUUUGGGGUGAGGGGUCCUAGUGGUACACAUCCAUGCUGCACAGUGAGUGCCGCAGGUUGUAACCUCAGAGAGAUAUCUUAUAGCCGCCUAUUUCAUCUUGAAGUUGCGCGAGCGCUAUCUGGUGGCCUCACACUCUACUAAUGCCUCUAGGUCAUUGUAGAGGCAUUGAGUAUGGGUGCGCUUGCGGCGAUGGUGCGAUAUCCAUUCGAGACUGCAGGGUGAGGAAGAUCAUUCAAUAGGAAAGAUUUGAGGAUCGUUAAAGGGCAAAUAGAUAUUAAGGUGGAACAUGGGGUGGGUCUGAUGGCUUAGGAUGGCGACUCAGUAAAUCGAGGGCCUUGCUAUCAGCAAUCGUAUCUCAAAACUGAUCGUACAUUUAGAAGUGUGUGUCGGGACCAUCUGGAAUUGCUAAGAUUAUGUAUUACAUAUAGGGACAACGAGAGUUGGUGGGCUUUUGCCUCUAUACCAUGUGUAUUUUAUGGAAUAUAGAUAUCUUUUCCCCACGACUUCAAUUGAUGG
rnacentral:sRNA from 1 species